GCAGUCGAACGAGGUAGCAAUACCUAGUGGCGCACGGGUGAGUAACGCGUGGAUAAUCUGCCCUUCACUGGGGAAUAACUAAUCGAAAGGUUAGCUAAUACCGCAUGAGGCCACAGUUUCUGAGGAAGCAGUGGUUAAAGAUUUAUUGGUGAAGGAUGAGUCUGCGUGGGAUUAGCUAGUUGGUGAGGUAAUGGCUCACCAAGGCUACGAUCUCUAACAGGUCUGAGAGGAUGACCUGUCACACUGGAACUGAGACACGGUCCAGACUCCUACGGGAGGCAGCAGUAGGGAAUAUUGCGCAAUGGACGAAAGUCUGACGCAGCGACGCCGCGUGAGUGAUGAAGGCCUUAGGGUCGUAAAGCUCUGUUGCAGGGGAAGAAAAAAAUGACGGUACCCUGCGAGAAAGGAUCGGCUAACUUCGUGCCAGCAGCCGCGGUAAGACGAGGGAUCCUAGCGUUGUUCGGAAUCAUUGGGCGUAAAGCGCAUGUAGGCUGCCAUUCAAGUCAGUUGUGAAAGCCCCGGGCUCAACCCGGGAAGUGCUUCUGAUACUGUUUGGCUUGAGUACUAGAGAGGAUAGUAGAAUUCCAGGUGUAGUGGUGAAAUACGUAGAUAUUGGAGGAAUACCGGUGG
rnacentral:rRNA from 1 species